rnacentral:rRNA from 1 species
AGGACGAACGCUGGCGGCGUGCUUAACACAUGCAAGUCGAGCGGAAAGGCCCUUCGGGGUACUCGAGCGGCGAACGGGUGAGUAACACGUGAGUAACCUGCCCCUAGCUUCGGGAUAGCUCCGGGAAACCGGAAUUAAUACCGGAUAUGACCACGGCCGACAUCGGCCACGGUGGAAAGAUUCAUCGGCUAGGGAUGGGCUCGCGGCCUAUCAGCUUGUUGGUGGGGUAACAGCCUACCAAGGCGACGACGGGUAGCCGGCCUGAGAGGGCGACCGGCCACACUGGGACUGAGACACGGCCCAGACUCCUACGGGAGGCAGCAGUGGGAAUAUUGCGCAAUGGGCGAAAGCCUGACGCAGCGACGCCGCGUGGGGGAUGAAGGCCUUCGGGUUGUAAACCCUUUCGGCAGGGACGAAGGCGAAAGUGACGGUACCUGCAGAAGAAGCGCCGGCUAACUACGUGCCAGCAGCCGC